AUUGAACGCUGGCGGCAUGCCUAACACAUGCAAGUCGAGCGGAUGAUGGGAGCUCGCUCCUUGAUUCAGCGGCGGACGGGUGAGUAAUGCCUAGGAAUCUGCCUGGUAGGGGGGGACAACGUUUCGAAAGGAACGCUAAUACCGCAUACGUCCUACGGGAGAAAGCAGGGGACCUUCGGGCCUUGCGCUAUCAGAUGAGCCUGGCUCGGAUUAGCUAGUUGGUGGGGUAAUGGCUCACCAAGGCGACGAUCCGUAACUGGUCUGAGAGGAUGAUCAGUCACACUGGAACUGAGACACGGUCCAGACUCCUACGGGAGGCAGCAGUGGGGAAUAUUGGACAAUGGGCGAAAGCCUGAUCCAGCCAUGCCGCGUGUGUGAAGAAGGUCUUCGGAUUGUAAAGCACUUUAAGUUGGGAGGAAGGGCAGUAAGUUAAUACCUUGCUGUUUUGACGUUACCGACAGAAUAAGCACCGGCUAACUCUGUGCCAGCCGCCGCCGUAAUAC
rnacentral:rRNA from 1 species